UCUUCAUUCCUCAUACUCUCUCACCGGUCAGAGUGACGAAAGAGCAGGCGAAAUGAAGAGA
rfam:Pristionchus pacificus strain PS312 contig12669, whole genome shotgun sequence.